GCCCGAAUGAUGGAACUGGUAGUCUUGGGGGAUUUAAAAUCCUCUGUCCGGGAACGGGCGUGUCGGUUCGAAUCCGACUUCGGGUACCA
rnacentral:tRNA from 1 species